UACGGAGGGGGGCUAGCGUUGUUCGGAAUUACUGGGCGUAAAGCGCACGUAGGCGGCUUUGCAAGUUAGAGGUGAAGGCCCGGGGCUCAACUCCGGAAUUGCCUUUAAAACUGCAUCGCUAGAAUUGUGGAGAGGUAAGUGGAAUUCCGAGUGUAGAGGUGAAAUUCGUAGAUAUUCGGAAGAACACCAGUGGCGAAGGCGACUUACUGGACACAUAUUGACGCUGAGGUGCGAAAGCGUGGGGAGCAAACAGG
rnacentral:rRNA from 1 species